ACAUGUUGAUAAAAUAGAUUUAAUGCACCAGAUCCCAUUAGAACUCCAUAGUGAAGGGCGCUUAGGCUAGAGUAGUACUGGGAUGGGUGACUUCCCUGGAAGCCAUAGUGUUUUACAUGCA
rfam:Picea glauca, whole genome shotgun sequence.